UCCGUAGGGUGCAAGCGUUACUCGGAAUUACUGGGCGUAAAGCGUGCGCAGGCGGUUGUGCCAGACAGGUGUGAAAUCCCCGGGCUCAACCUGGGAACUGCAUUUGUGACUGCACGGCUGGAGUGCGGCAGAGGGGGAUGGAAUUCCGCGUGUAGCAGUGAAAUGCGUAGAUAUGCGGAGGAACACCGAUGGCGAAGGCAAUCCCCUGGGCCUGCACUGACGCUCAUGCACGAAAGCGUGGGGAGCAAACAGG
rnacentral:rRNA from 1 species